GCGCCGAUUGUGUUUACGGCGCCGGCCGGUGCGUGCGCAUCUUUCUCCCUUUUUCCCUGUUCCUCGGAGGGCAACCAGGUGCGCGGUCUCCGGCUCGGACCAUCUGUCGCCAUCCGGGCCCGGCAGAGGCCUAUAUAGGUUUUAGAAGAUGGCAAAGUUCAUGACCCCCGUGAUCCAGGACAACCCCUCAGGCUGGGGUCCCUGUGCGGUGCCCGAGCAGUUUCGGGAUAUGCCCUACCAGCCGUUUAGCAAAGGAGAUCGGCUAGGAAAGGUUGCAGACUGGACGGGUGCCACAUACCAAGAUAAGAGGUACACGAGUAAGUGUUCAGCUGACUGCCCAGA